rnacentral:rRNA from 1 species
AUUGAACGCUGGCGGCAGGCCUAACACAUGCAAGUCGAACGAGUGGCGGACGGGUGAGUAAUUUCUGGGAAACUGCCCGAUGGAGGGGGAUAACUACUGGAAACGGUAGCUAAUACCGCAUACCAUCAGAUGUUCCCAGAUGGGAUUAGCGUGUUGGGGGGGUAAAGGCUCACCAAGGCGACGAUCCCUAGCUGGUCUGAGAGGAUGACCAGCUACACUGGAACGGAGACACGGUCCAGACUCCUACGGGAGGCAGCAGUGGGGAAUAUUGCACAAUGGGCGCAAGCCUGAUGCAGCCAUGCCGCGGGUAUGAAGAAGGCCUUAGGGUUGUAAAGUACUUUCAGCGGGGAGGCGUUACCCGCAGAAGAAGCACCGGCUAACUCCGUGCCAGCAGCCGCGGUAAUUC